GUGCCUAACACAUGCAAGUCGAGCGAUUCUCUUCGGAGAAGAGCGGCGGACGGGUGAGUAACGCGUGGGUAACCUGCCCUGUACACACGGAUAACAUACCGAAAGGUAUGCUAAUACGGGAUAAUAUAAGAAAUUCGCAUGUUUUUCUUAUCAAAGCUCCGGCGGUACAGGAUGGACCCGCGUCUGAUUAGCUAGUUGGUGAGGUAACGGCUCACCAAGGCGACGAUCAGUAGCCGACCUGAGAGGGUGAUCGGCCACAUUGGAACUGAGACACGGUCCAAACUCCUACGGGAGGCAGCAGUGGGGAAUAUUGCACAAUGGGCGAAAGCCUGAUGCAGCAACGCCGCGUGAGCGAUGAAGGCCUUCGGGUCGUAAAGCUCUGUCCUCAAGGAAGAUAAUGACGGUACUUGAGGAGGAAGCCCCGGCUAACUACGUGCCAGCAGCCGCGGUAAUACGUAGGGGGCUAGCGUUAUCCGGAUUUACUGGGCGUAAAGGGUGCGUAGGCGGUCUUUUAAGUCAGGAGUGAAAGGCUACGGCUCAACCGUAGUAAGCUCUUGAAACUGGAGGACUUGAGUGCAGGAGAGGAGAGUGGAAUUCCUAGUGUAGCGGUGAAAUGCGUAGAUAUUAGGAGGAACACCAGUAGCGAAAGGCGGCUCUCUGGACUGUAACUGACGCUGAGGCACGAAAGCGUGGGGAGCAAACAGGAUUAGAUACCCUGGUAGUCCAC
rnacentral:rRNA from 1 species